UGAUAGGCCGGAAGUGGAAGCACCGCAAGGUGUGCAGCUGACCGGUACUAACAGGCCGAGGGCUUGACCAC
rnacentral:rRNA from 1 species